GACGAACGCUGGCGGUGUGCUUCACACAUGCAAGUCGAACGAGGUAGCAAUACCUAGUGGCGGACGGGUGAGUAACGCGUGGGAAUCUGCCUUUAGAUGGGGGAUAACGGGUCGAAAGACUCGCUAAUACCGCAUAUGACGAAAGUUGAAAGGAGUAAUCCGUCUAAAGAUGAGCCCGCGUCCGAUUAGCUAGUUGGUAGAGUAAAAGCCUACCAAGGCGACGAUCGGUAGCUGGUCUGAGAGGAUGAUCAGCCAACAAAUGGGACUGAGACACGGCCCAUACUCCUACGGGAGGCAGCAGUGGGGAAUUUUACGCAAUGGGCGAAAGCCUGACGUAGCGACACCGCGUGAGCGAAGAAGCCCCUUGGGGUGUAAAGCUCUGUCAGCUGGAACGAAAAAAAUGACGGUACCAGCAGAGGAAGCAUCGGCUAACUACGUG
rnacentral:rRNA from 1 species